rnacentral:sRNA from 1 species
GAAGGACAGUACAGAUAAAGUAGCUGGGAUGCUGAAUUAGAAACAGAUAUGCAAAAUGCAAGUACAUUUUAUGUUUUAUGCCUACCUUCAAUUCAGUUUCUUAAUUUAUAAUAGAUUGCCAGAAGGGCAAAUGCAGGCACAGUUGGAAAUAGUAGACUGACCUGAACUGACAUCAAAUUCUGUAAGUCUCUAUACAUUAUAGAGCUGGAGUUGAAGGAAUAUUGUGGAGGUCAUUAACAUAGAAUUUUAUUGAUGUGUAAUGUAUUUAUAAGGACCAACUCUGAAUUAACACAAUUUUCUUUUUCAGAGUCCUUAUAGGACAGUUCUUCGAGAUAAUGCAAUACCAACAAUAUUUGAUCUUACCAGUCAUUUGAACAACCCACAUAGUAGACACAGAAAACGAAUAAAAGAACUGAGUGAAGAUGAAAUCAGGACACUGAAACAGAAAAAAA